CGGAGCUGCUACACUAAGAGAGUUCUGUGGCCAAGCUAAUAGGCAGGAACACGCUCCUACACUAAGAGAGCUCCAGCUAAUAGGCAGGAACACCAAUUAGGGCCAGAGCCGCCCUUUUUUCUAGUGGAGCUUCACUUGGCCUGAGUCCCUGCGGAUUGGACUUCCAUAGAUUUGAAACUUCCUCCGGGUACCACAAGCAUCAGGCCUGUGAUUAAGAGCAAAGAGCGGCCAACUAUUGUAACUCUUAUUCCCA
rnacentral:lncRNA from 1 species